rnacentral:lncRNA from 1 species
AACUUAGUCUGUAUACCAAUACUUGAUAUGCACCGGACUUCCUUAACAUGCCACAUCUCAUACGGUGUGAUGAAAAGAACUUAGAGGAAACUCUAUUCAUUAAGUAAAGCUUAUUCCUAAAAAAAAUAAGAAAAGAUCAGUGAUGUUUAUCAUGGAUCGGAUCAUAUCGAAUAGAGUCCAAUUUCUCCUCACUGACACCCCCAUCAAGUUGAGGUGCACCAGAAAGAGUCC